ACAAUAGGUGGCAGUAAUGCACAAAUAUUUUUGAAUGCCAACCGCGGUAAAAACAGAGCAAGCCAAACAAUUAGUUAUUGAGGUGAAUAAAAAAAAAAACACUAUGCCGAGGGGAAAGGAGAUCUCUGAGGACAUCAGGACGGAAGUAGUGAGAGCACAUCAGUCUGGGGAAGGCUAUACAAAAAUCUCAAAGAAAUUUGAUCUCCAUCAGUCCACCGUGAGGCAAAUUAUUUAUAAAUGGAGAGAAUUUAACAUGACAGCAACUCUGCCUAGAAGUGGACGCCCAUCCAAAAUAACCCCAAGAGCCACAAGAAAAAUAAUAAAUCAGGUAAAUGCCAACCCAAACAUAACAUCUGGUGAUUUGCAGACCUCCCUUGCUGCAUCUCAGGUUAUUGUGCAUGCUUCAACAAUAAGAAGAACACUGAAUCGACAUGGCAUUCAUGGAAGGGUUGCUAGGAAGAAGCCUCUGAUGUCAAAAAAGGGCCAAACUGCCCAUCUUAACUUGGCCAAAGACCACCUGGGCAAACCUAAAGGUUUCUGGAAGUCCAUUCUCUGGACACGGUAUGUUUGGCGAAAACCCAACAAUGCCUGCCACCAAAAUAACCUUAUUCCAACAGCCAAGCUGUUUUCUAGACCACCUAAGGCGAGACCUAGUCAAAACCAAGACCGGAGCAAGUUGAGUCAGAUUGAAGACCAAGACCGAAGGGGGGGCAAGACCAAGAGGAUACUGGGACAGCAGGGAAAGGAGCGAGUCCAAGUUAAGACAGAGCCCGAGACUGAAGGUUGGGCAAAACCAAGGCCGGGGAAGAUCAAGUCCAAUUCAAGACUAUGAUUAUAAAUGUUUCACUCCACCCCAAUAGUAGUUUUUCAAAUGUUUAUCUAUAAAGCUGUUUUGCACAAAUCACCACUAUGUAACCUAUGUAUUUACAUAGAGCAGAAGCAGUUCUUGCCAGACAGCCUUUGAAUUGGCUAGACCUAGUGGUCCUUUAAGUGUCUUUUUUACUGACUUGCUCUUCUCAUCUCUCCCUAUCAUUGGUUCAUCCACAAGGUAGAGGUGCAACAUGUUAAUAUUUAUUAUAUAUACAUAUAAAAUCACUUAUUCUGGCCCUUUUAAAAUUCAAGUUUGUUCAUCAUAGAGAUUGUUUAAAUGUACCAUAAUAGAUGUACCAUAAUAGUAGUCCUGGUCUUUGGUUUGUCAGUCUGUUUGGUAGUUUAUGGUCUCAUCAAAUCCAUUAAUUUCACCUGUAUCAGUUUAUUAUUGUAUGUCUUCAUUUGUUACCACUUCUUUCUCUGUAACCAUAUAACUAUCUUGUCAUAGUGUAAUAAUAAUAAUUUCUAUGUGUCCUACUUUUUUUACUAUCCAUUAAAUUGUUCUUAUGUACAUCUCUUUCCUAUAUAUGCCUUAUGUGAAGUUAUAUCAUGUAAUUUGACGAUUGUUUUUUGCUCAUGUUCUAUGUACACAUGUCUCUGUUUCUGUGUGCUAGACCAAAUAUAAUGCAUUAGUUGUUCAGGCUUGACAGAUUAUGUAAAACAGACACUACCAGGUGGCACCAAGGAAGGCAUAGAUUGGAAUGUGCCUACUGAUAAUGUGAUUGGCUAAGUUCAUUAUAACAAUGUUCUAGUGUUAUAACAGGCACUUUUGUCUUUUCCCUCUGCUUCUCUGCAUGGCUCCUUGCUCUUACCAUCUCCAGUCUCCGGGAGACUUAUAUCUUUGAUAAUUGUAAUGCAAUUGUAUGCCCUCAUAACUUAUUGCCACCUCAAAUCUAAUAACUGCAAUCUCCGUACUCGUAAUGCAAUUGUAUUCUCUCGUAUACAAAGUAUUGGAUUAAAUAUGUUACAUUCA